UAUGGUGUGAGUCACCACGCACAUCACACAUACGAUGUGCUUCUUACAUUAUCAGAAGAUGAACAUGGUGAAUGGAAGCAGGACCGUUUGCUUUACAAACAGAAAGCCAAUUUCAGGAGUCCAUGGCUACCAGCAGAGAGCACACGAAUCAAGAAGGAACGCCAGAAUCUGUAACUCAGAAACUUCCACCCCCGACACUUCCUCAUCUUGGGGAAUAUAAAUGACUU
rnacentral:lncRNA from 1 species